AGCGAUAGACAUGUGGGCAAUGACCCUGCACAAUAAAGGUUCGAUAAAGUCAGCAGCUCGACCCCCCCUGUAGCUCGGUUUAUCAGGCAGCGACGUGAGCGUUUCCCUGUACUUCGAGCAGACGCUAAACCUUUGCCUGCGACGACUGUUUCCAAGUACCAGCAGCGGACACAACCAUGUCGCACAUGCUCGGAUUGUGCUGCUGCAAGGGAUGCGAAGAUUGCCGAAAGGGGCUACGCGCCCGGCUGCCCUCAUGCCUAGGUGGCGGGGAAGAGGGAGAGCAGCAGCAGCAGCAGCAGCAGCAGCAGGAGGAGCAAAGUACGCCGGAACAGGCACCGGACCCAGACGAGGCGCAUCCCUUGCUUCCACUACGCCCAGACGCAGUCAUGCAAGAGCCUUCGUCCUUGUCUCCCGAAGGGGCCUCACCUUCGGGUGCUGCUGGAGUGGGCGACGUGCCCAAAGGCAGCUCGGACGAUUCGGACACGUCCUCCACACUCAGCAAGGCAUCGCUCACGAGCAUGGACACCACAUUCUCCGUAGUGACGACACAUGACUGACUCGGCACCAGCGGUACGGCAACGGUCAGCGUCGAUGUACCAAAGGUCCCGUUCAAUACGUCCAGCGAGGACUCUGAGACACCUCCGUAGGUGCUGCUGUCGACCUAGGUGUGGCCCCGCCUGCAGGAGUGCAACGAGCCGCUUGUGCGUUGUAGCUGCUUUUAUCCCGCAGUUCUGUUGUCUUUUUGCAGCGUGCCUACGUUUUAUUGCUAUUUUACGAAUAAACUUUCCUUUUUUUUUAACUUU